rnacentral:rRNA from 1 species
UACGUAGGGUGCAAGCGUUUGUCCGGAAUUAUUGGGCGUAAAGAGCUCGUAGGUGGCUUGUCAACGUCGGGUGUGAAAUCCCAGGGCUUAACCCUGGGUCUGCAUUCGAUACGGGCUGGCUAGGGUCCUCAGGGGAGACUGGAAUUCCUGGUGUAGCGGUGGAAAUGCGCAGAUAUCAGGAGGAACACCGAUGGCGAAGGCAGAUCUCUGGGCCGUAACUGACGCUGAGGAGCGAAAGCGUGGGGAGCGAACAGG